rnacentral:rRNA from 1 species
CAGUAGCCGCGGGAAUACGAAGGGUGCAAGCGUUACUCGGAAUUACUGGGCGUAAAGCGUGCGUAGGUGGUGGUUUAAGUCCGUUGUGAAAUCCCCGGGCUCAACCUGGGAACUGCAUCCAAAACUGGCAGGCUAGAGUAGGGCAGAGGGUGGUGGAAUUUCCUGUGUAGCGGUGAAAUGCGUAGAUAUAGGAAGGAACACCAGUGGCGAAGGCAGCCAUCUGGCCUAAUACUGACGCUGAGGUACGAAAGCAUGGGGAGCAAACAGGAUUAGAUACCCCAGUAGUCCCUGUCUCUUAUAC